rnacentral:lncRNA from 1 species
GACUCCACCCUGAUUCCCAGAGGCCAGCACAGGACCUGACCUACAGUGGGUGCUCGGAGAAAUGCUUUCUGGAAUCUGGCUCAACACCCUUUGGUUGUCCUCCUCCUCUAAAUGGGCAUGUGAAUUAACUCAGCCUGUGCCCAGAGAAACAGGAACUUAAAGAUAAGUACAAAGUGGCCGAAUCUCCCGAGCCCCCAGGCUCUUCCACCAUUUGUGGGACAUAUAGUCAUUGUGUUUGCUGUGAAUCAAGGACCACACCAUGUGACAGGGAUGCACACAUGAAACAGGUGAGGGCACCGGCCAAGGGAAGCAGAUGACCUGUGGAAGGAGACAGACCAACUAAAGGAGGCUGCAUCACCAAGUGCCAAGUGCCAAGUUCAAGAAGCCGGAGUCCAAGAUCAAGGUGUUAUCACAGGUGGAUUUCUUCAGAGGCCUUUCCUCUUGGCUUACAGAUAAGCCCCUGCAGAAUUCCCGAGAGCCACUUUGGGCUGCCAGGGGGUCUCCCCCCCACAUGGCCAAGAAGGAGAGGCUGAGCCCCCUCACUGCGGACACCCCAACUCCCAGCCCCUGGGCCCCCUACAGACGU